rnacentral:tRNA from 1 species
UGUAGCUCAAUGGUUGAGCACUUGCCUAGUAUGCACAAAACUCUGGAUUCAAUCUCCAGCA